rnacentral:tRNA from 1 species
GCCGGUAUAGCUCAGUCGGUAGAGCAGCUGUUUCGUAAACAGCAGGUCGCGGGUUCGAGUCCCAUUGCCGGCU